GUGCUCACUUUGGCAGCAUAUAUACUAAAAUUGGAACGAUACAGAGAUUAACAUGGCCCCUGUGCAAGGAUGACACCCAAAUUUGUGAAGCGUUCCAUAUUUUU